AUACUUACCUGGCAGGGGAGGUCCCAUGAUCGUGAAGAUGGUUUUCCCAGGGCGAGGCUCACCCAUUGCUCUCUGGGUGUGCCGACCUCUGCGAUAUCCCCAAGUGUGGGAAACUCGCCUGCGUAAUUUGUGGUGGUGGGCGACUGUGUUCGCGCUCUCCCCUG